ACUUUCUUAGUAUAACACACAGUACAGCUGACUUCCAAUCAGCCAGUCCCAGUAUAAACCUGGGAGAGAGUA
rnacentral:tRNA from 1 species